rnacentral:rRNA from 1 species
AGGGAAUCUUCCGCAAUGGACGAAAGUCUGACGGAGCAACGCCGCGUGAGUGAUGAAGGUUUUCGGAUCGUAAAGCUCUGUUGCCAGGGAAGAACGUCCGUUAGAGUAACUGCUAACGGAGUGACGGUACCUGAGAAGAAAGCCCCGGCUAACUACGUGCCAGCAGCCGCGGUAAUACGUAGGGGGCAAGCGUUGUCCGGAAUUAUUGGGCGUAAAGCGCGCGCAGGCGGCUGUUUAAGUCUGGGGGUUAAUCCUGGGGCUCAACUCCGGGUCGCACUGGAAACUGGACGGCUUGAGUGCAGAAGAGGAGAGUGGAAUUCCACGUGUAGCGGUGAAAUGCGUAGAGAUGUGGAGGAACACCAGUGGCGAAGGCGACUCUCUGGGCUGUAACUGACGCUGAGGCGCGAAAGCGUGGGGAGCAAAC